AAGUCGUAACAAGGUUUCCGUAGGUGAACCUGCGGAAGGAUCAUUAACAAAUUCCAUCUUUCUAACCUUAACACCGUGAAUCGACCAUGUUGUUGGCGGCGGCAGGCGCAAGCUUGUUGACGGCAGCGGCAAGGCCUAAAACAACUUUGAGGGCACUGACGGCUUAGUGACCGUUAGCCUUGACCUUGAGUCUGGCGCGGCGCGAAUUUAAUUUACAACUUUUAACAAUGGAUCUCUUGGCUCUC
rnacentral:misc_RNA from 1 species